UACGUAGGGUGCAAGCGUUUGUCCGGAAUUAUUGGGCGUAAAGAGCUCGUAGGCGGUCUGUCGCGUCGGCUGUGAAAACCUGGGGCUUAACUCCGGGCCUGCAGCCGAUACGGGCAGACUAGAGUUCGGCAGGGGAGACUGGAAUUCCUGGUGUAGCGGUGAAAUGCGCAGAUAUCAGGAGGAACACCGGUGGCGAAGGCGGGUCUCUGGGCCGAAACUGACGCUGAGGAGCGAAAGCGUGGGGAGCAAACAGG
rnacentral:rRNA from 1 species